AUUGAACGCUGGCGGCAGGCCUAACACAUGCAAGUCGAGCGGGGGUAGCAAUACCCUAGCGGCGAACGGGUGAGGAAUGCUUGGGAAUCUGCCUGGUAGUGGGGGGAUAACGUUCCGAAAGGAACGCUAAUACCGCAUACGUCCUACGGGAGAAAGGGGGGGAUCUUCGGACCUCUCGCUAUCAGAUGAGCCCAAGCGGGAUUAGCUAGUUGGUGAGGUAAAGGCUCACCAAGGCGACGAUCCCUAGCUGGCUGAGAGGAUGAUCAGCCACACUGGAACUGAGACACGGUCCAGACUCCUACGGGA
rnacentral:rRNA from 1 species